GAACAUGGAUCAACGAUAGUACGCAGGAAACCAACUUCCUGAAAGGUGCCUAUUACACACUUAAAACAAAGUACGGGAUGAGGAUAUUGGCCUUGAACACCAAUCUGUACUACACGUCUGACAAAGUGACCACACACAUGGACGACCCCGCCGAUCAGUUCGUGUGGAUGGAAGGAAUUCUGAUGCAGGCCAGAAGGGACCACGAAAAGGUAUGCGAAGGUUUGGUUUGUAUUGCUUCAUUUUCUAUCACGUUAGAGAAAAAAUGAAUGAAUAAAGGGUUGUUUUCGCCCCGUGUUAUUUACGCCCUUCUUCACUUCCAACGGCUUCGCCCCCACUCUCUACCAUCGGCUGAGAGAGGAACGAACGACAACUCUGCAUGGGAGAAUGCUUCGCCCCGUCUUGAAUUCGCCCAGACAAAGUUGAGUUUAAAGAGAGUCAAUAAGAGACAUUGUAAUUCGUCCAGUCUUAAAUUCGCCGUCUAUAUUGUAACAACGAGGUCGAAAGGGGCAAACAUAAAACGGGGACGAAUAUUUCCCUGUGUACAGUAGAUCCUUCGUGGUACUAUCGGCAAUGUUGGAUAAAACAUGACGAAACUGUUAUUGUUUGCUUAUAAUGUCUUUGAUUACCUAUUAGCUAAAUAUUUGCACAGAAACUAUAUACAUGUAAUUGAGUUCUGGUUAUCUGUUCAUUGUUUUCUAAAGGUAUUGGUUACCGGACAUGUUCCCCCGGGUAUUGCUGCAGAGGGAGGAAGACCCUGGUUCUACCAACAUUUCAAUACUCGUAUGGUGCACAUAUUACAACAAUACAGUGACGUCAUCAUCGGGCUUCACUUUGGUCAUGAGCAUGCUGACACGUUUAGAAUAUUCUAUGAUCAUUCUGGACGACCGGAAAUGACGCUGUACGUAGCCCCUUCUGUAACUCCUUGGAGAUACAAAAUUCCCUCGGCAACCGGUCCAAAACACAAUCCGUCGUUCCGCCUCAUCAAGUAUGACAGGACAACAGGGCGCCAUUUAGACUUGGUUCAAUACUACAUGGACCUUCCCGAAAGUAACAAACAGGGCAGACCAAUAUGGAGCAUCGCUUACACAGCCACCAAAGACAUGGGCGUCCCUGACAUUUCUCCAGCAUCCAUGGAUGGUUUCGCAACUCGAACCAAAAAUCCAAACGGUCCGGAGUUCCAAAAUCACCUUAGGUGGCGAAAUGCCAAUGCUGAAGUGAUGCCGUGUGAUGCGCUAUGCCAUUCGCUGAUUUUCUGUAACUUCUUUAAGGUUCAUGAUCACGAUUUCAAAACGUGUUUACGUGACACGCAGCAUUAUACAGCAUCCAUAUUUGGGAAAAGAAAAUAGUUUAUUUUGUUUGUAUCAUUAAAUUUUUAACAAAAUCC
rnacentral:misc_RNA from 1 species